AUGAAGCUGAAGGAGACGGAGCUGGAUGACGUGAUCGUUGGUGAUGAGGAAAUCGCAGAAUUGUUGAAGGACGCCCGAUGGCUAGCUGUUGCGAGGGUAAACACGACGACAUACUUCAGUGUCGAGUCCUUCAAGAACACAAUGAUUUUCGCAUGGAGACUUGCCAACGAGCCAGAGAUCCGCGAGGCAGAUAACAAUCUUUUCAUCAUCCAACUUUUCUACCUAGGUGAUUGGAACAGAGUUAUGCACCAGGGUCCUUGGAUCUAUAGGGGACUUAUGGUUGCAAUUGAAGAGUAUGAUGGCAAAGGGAAACCAGAUUUGGUUCAGCUCGACCGAGUCCAUGUGUGGGCGCAGAUUCAUGAUACUCCGGAGCUCUAUAGGAAGGAGAUGAUUGUAGACCAACUGGCUCGUCGCAUAGGCCAAGUGAAGAGCGUGGAGAUGAACCAUAACCGAGUUUUUGAAGGCAACUAUGUUAGGGUCCGGGCAAAGAUUAAACUAGCUGAUCCCUUAGUGCGUUUUGCCCCAUUGAACAUCAAAGGGGAAGGGCGAAUUCUCUUGCCAGUAAGAUAUGAGAAGAUAGGCUUCUUCUGCGAAGUCUGUGGCAUCCUAGGCCACUCCAUGGAGGAGUGCGGCGAUGGGGUUCACAGCCCCGAGGAGGUUGAAUAUGGCGAGUGGAUGAAAGCCACUCGGAGAGCCAUGCUGGAGAGCCAGAACCGUGACCCGAGCUGGAACAGGGGGAACUCCACACGAGGCCGUGGACGUGCCCGUGGAGGCGGCCGCGGAAGGAACAAUGGAGCCAAGAAACGGUCAUCGGAGGACGCCGGUCUAGAGGAGGAAGUUGACGGAGAUGAUGAUGAUGAUCUCAAGGAUACGGCGGAGAGCCCUCUCAAGAACAAUGGCGAUGAUGCAGGGACCGUCCGUCCCCAAACCACGGUUAUCCGCUAG
rnacentral:rRNA from 1 species